UGCCAGCUUCACGAUGAACUUCUUGAGAAUGAAGCAUUUGCUAAUAGGAUGACUCACGAUAUAGUGGUAUUUACAGUACCUAAGAUCAUUAUUCAUCUCUUUGGGACAUUGCAACCACGUCAGAGUCAGGAAAAGGCUACGUCUUCUGCUCCAAUUCCCUCAAGGUGUUUUUGUACUUGUCUUGGGUGCGAGAAGGCCAACCUCUCUUCAUCUCCUUUGUUUUAUUCUUGUAUGAGAUCUUGAUGGGGAUGGUAUUGGUGUUAAAAGCUUCCUUGGCGGGCUUUUUCCCAGUCUUGUCCACCUUCAUAUUAAACACCUUGUCCUUCUUGAAGUCGGUGAUUGGCUUAUUUUUCCUAUGAUUGCCCAUACUCAACUCCAUGUCGUGGGGUCGAGCUGCCAACUCCUCAAAUGUUCUCCGUUUUAUACCUUGGAAGAUGUAAUGUAACCCCCAGUGCAUGCCAUGAACACACAUCUCAAUGGCGGAGGUUUCAGAAAGUCGAUCUUUGCAAUCCAGACUUAAUGAACGCCAUAUGUUGAUGUAGUCAAUGACAGGUUCAUCAUUCCACUACUUCGUACUUGUCAGCUAUAGCAUGCUUACGAUACGACGAGUGUUGUAGAAGCAGUUGAGGAAUUCCCUUUCAAGCUUGUCCCAACUGUUGAUGGACUUGAGCUCGAGGUUGGUGUACCAGUUAAAGGCGUUGUCCUUCAGGGAGCGCACAAAGUACUUGACGAGGUAGUCUCCCUCCGUCCCAACAUUGUUGCAGGUUUCAAUGAAAUGGGCAAUAUGUUGUUUAGGAUUGCCCUUUCCAUCGAAUUGCAUAAAUUUGGGUGGCUAAUAACCCCUUGGCAUCCUCAAGG
rnacentral:lncRNA from 1 species